rnacentral:rRNA from 1 species
AACGCUGGCGGCAGCCUAACACAUGCAAGUCGAACGGUAACAGGAAACAGCUUGCUGUUUCGCUGACGAGUGGCGGACGGGUGAGUAAUGUCUGGGAAACUGCCUGAUGGAGGGGGAUAACUACUGGAAACGGUAGCUAAUACCGCAUAACGUCGCAAGACCAAAGAGGGGGACCUUCGGGCCUCUUGCCACCGGAUGUGCCCAGAUGGGAUUAGCUAGUAGGUGGGGUAACGGCUCACCUAGGCGACGAUCCCUAGCUGGUCUGAGAGGAUGACCAGCCACACUGGAACUGAGACACGGUCCAGACUCCUACGGGAGGCAGCAGUGGGGAAUAUUGCACAAUGGGCGCAAGCCUGAUGCAGCCAUGCCGCGUGUAUGAAGAAGGCCUUAGGGUUGUAAAGUACUUUCAGCGGGGAGGAAGGGAGUAAAGUUAAUACCUUUGCUCAUUGACGUUACCCGCAGAAGAAGCACCGGCUAACUCCGUGCCAGCAGCCGCGGUAAUACGGAGGGUGCAAGCGUUAAUCGGAAUUACUGGGCGUAAAGCGCACGCAGGCGGUUUGUUAAGUCAGAUGUGAAAUCCCCGGGCUCAACCUGGGAACUGCAUCUGAUACUGGCAAGCUUGAGUCUCGUAGAGGGGGGUAGAAUUCCAGGUGUAGCGGUGAAAUGCGUAGAGAUCUGGAGGAAUACCGGUGGCGAAGGCGGCCCCCUGGACGAAGACUGACGCUCAGGUGCGAAAGCGUGGGGAGCAAACAGG